rnacentral:rRNA from 1 species
AUGAGUGCCCUCCCCGACGACCUCCUGCUCCUCGUCCUGCGCCGUCUCGACGCCCGCUCGGCGCUCGGCACCGCGCUGCUGUCGACGCGCUGGGCCCGUCUCCACCGCGAGCUCCCCGUCCUCGACUUCCGGGUCGGCAGCAUGCUCCCGCCGCGCUACCACAGACUGGUCCUUCUCCUUGACGACAUGGACAUAAAGGGGGCUUAUCUUCGGUUCAAAAGAAGGUGCGAGCUCAUGCCAAAAGUCAGGAGGUACGAGCGCGGUGCCAUGCGCGCACUAAGCCGCUCCAUCGAGAGCUUCUUGGACGACGAGGUCGUCCGAGGAGUUCGCCGUAGCGUGAGCAGGCUGAGGCUCGAGUUCUUCAUCAACCACAACCCCGGCUGCAUGAACAGGCUGAUCGCCAAGUCCAUCGACGAUUGGGGGGUCAGCGACCUGGAGGCUGUCGCCAAGCCGAUCUACUUCGAAGAUUCCAUCCACACCUUCCCCAGCCACGGCCUCUGCCACGAUCCUCGCGCGUCGUGUUAGAAGAGCCUCAAGCUUGUAGGCUGCGCGCUCCCGCCGCUGCACGAGUUCAGCGCGCUCACCAUGCUCGUCCUGCAAGACAUUACGGGUUCGACGUCCAAGGCCGCCUACGAGGGCGUCUUCACCAUGUGCUCUCAGCUGCAGGUGCUGCAACUCAAGUCCUGCGAUUGCCGCUGGGAGGACAGGGACCUGGUGGUGGACGCCCCCAGCUCGCACAUCAGGGAGCUCGUCUUUGACAAGUGCACGUUGGGACGGGUGCUGAUGAGGGCUCUUCCUAACCUCGAGAGCCUAGCCUCCCGGGACACCGAUGCCAUGCUACAAUUCGAUCAGUCCACCUCGUUUCCCAGCCUCAGGCAAUGCAACCACACCACUAGCGUCGGUCUCUUUCGCACAAGAAUGGGACGGCCGCGUGAAUACAUUGGGCACCAGCGUGAGCUUGGCUCAUUCCUUGGGCGCACGCCGUACAUAACCAACCUCAUCCUCCGGUUCACCGGACCAAGACGAUGGGUCGUGCCGUCACCGUCUGGCUCCUCGUCGCCCUUGCUGCCCAAGCUGAGGAAACUGCUCGCCGCCGACGUGCCUUCCUCCUGGGACGUCUCGUGGCCCCGUCUCCUCCUCGAGAUGGCGCCAUCCCUCGAGACCCUUCACAUCCACAUCGCCCCUUGCAGGGAGAGGGCCGGGUGUGUCAUACCAUGGGAGCCCACCAAGCUUCGGCGGCGUCACUUGAAGGAGUUCGUGGUGGUUGGUUUUCACGGAACGAAGAGGCAGAUUUCCUUUGUGAAGUUUGUCAUGGGAGUGUCGACAUCGUUGCGCCGUGUAGCCUUGUUCAGGAAUGGGCGUGCUGAGGAGGACAAGGGGCACUGGGACUGGGUGAUGGUAACGGAGCAGCACUCAUGGACCAACAGGCAGAAGAACGCUACGCAGAAGAAGAUUAUGGAUGGGGUUUCUUUCUCCCGCCGUCCUGCGCAAUUUGUGUUUGCUGAUCCCUUCCUAUAG